CAGAGCGGGCAGGGAAGUCUGUCCUACCCUUCGUGUCCGAGUGGGGCCGGGGACUUCGUCUCCGGAGCCCCCAGAGUCCUCACAGGCUCGGCGGGAGGAACUCGUUUGGAGCUCGGGAGCGCUCAGGACGCUCGCAGGCAUUUCAGAGCCUGAGGUUCGAAUCCCAGCUUCCAGAGAGACUCCGCGACUUUGGACAACCGGUCUCGGGGCCUCAGUUUCCCCUCUAGGGUGAGGCACCCAGGAGGCGGAGGAAAAGGCUGUGGUUCCUUUACUAGCCCGACCCCUCGGGCGGUCCACGGCUGCCCUGCAUGGAGCUGACGCUCAACGAGGGUUGUUGAAUGAAUGUGUGUAAGGAGCCCUGAGAAGCCACAAAUCUUGGACACCUGGCUGGAGGAUCUGUCCGUCCUGGCCCCAGCGUCUUAGAGAGGUACCUGCACAGCAAUGGAUAUUUCCAGUUGUUCUCCAUUCUCGUCAACACUUGGUAUGGUCAGUCAUUUUAAUUUUAGACAUCUAACAGGGGCCCUGGCUGAGUCUGGAACUAAAGGAACGUUUUACAGUUAGUCACCUUCCUUCGGCGGUAAGUGGAUGCGAAGAAGCACAUGGGAACUGUCUGCUUCCUCGAGGAGGCAGUCUGCCCGGGCACCCUGCAUGCCCUGUGUGAGUGUGCCACACCAGGCACUCUGGCCGCCAUGGAGCAGUGUCUGCAGCUGCUCGCUGGCGCGACCACAUAGGUCAAGGUGGCCACGGCUGCCGCUUGCGCAGGAAGUGCUGAGUCCUUGGCCCUGCACACCCCCCUGCACGAGGAGGCCCCAGGGAGUUGCAUGGAGACUGUGGGAGCGAGGGAAGCAGCACAACUCUACCGGUGCAUCUGCUGUGGCUGUGAGAGCAGAAGGUCUACCUCUGAUCAGCACACCUCUCCCUCCACUGUCAGCACCCGUGCAGUGGCAUCAGGUUCACUCCCUGCAUCCUCAGGUUCUUUCUUGAAAGUGAGGUGAGUUUUAAGCUUUAAGUAGGCAGCGAGCCCAGGAGGCGCGUUCAGGGUAAGGUCUGAUGAGACUGUCCUUCUUGGCGCCCGCCGGAGGCCAGGUGCUUUUACAAGCAGGAGCUCUAGCUAUCUUUUUCCAUCUCUGGAAUAGGUGCAGCUCCUCCUAUUUUAUCAAAGCAACAAGGCAGGCUCAGAGGAGAGGGACGCACGGUUACGAGGCGGGAUCAGUACAUGGCGGGGCCGGGAGGGCCUCAGUCUGUCCCUUCCGAAGUGCAUCUGCUCAAGAUAUGAGCAGAGUUGCUUGCGUGGGCCUGCCUGCUGGAGCAGAGGGUGAUGGGCAGUCUGGAAGGCCAUCUGGGCAGGAGAGGGUCAGUUUGAUGCUGGCCUGACAAAUGGUGGCUUUAGAAAAGGGUCCUGUAUGAAAUACGUGCCCUGGUCACACAUACACACAUCUAUCCCUAACACAACCCGCCUCUGGCCCCCAGGAGAAGUUAGCUAAAGACAAACACGGAAAUGCUGAGUAAACAGGAACUGCAGGUUAUGUGGCUGCUGAAAACCGCUGGGAGUCUCCGAAGUGAAUGAUGUUUUGAUUUUAAAUAGCAUUUAAAAGGCAAGCAAGGCUACUAGUCAUGAAACUUGUCUCUCUUGAGGCAAGUCCAUCUUAGACCGGGGCUUCAAGCUGAAGAGGACCCACCCCAUCAGAGCUGCGGCCUCCUUACCUCUGGAAGGGAAGACUGGGCACUGCGCGUCUGCUUGAUGGCUUCCUCGUAGCGAGGAGGGUCUUUCGUCUUGGGGACCGGGCUCCCAAACAGAGAGUGCUGGACCGCAAACUGCUGGGGCGGAGGGGGCGAGCCGGGCUGCGGCAGACAAAGGAGGAGAGUCAGCCCGACGGCAGGCUGGCCCCCCGGGGAUCCUGGGGGGUGAGGCUGAGGCGCUGGCGGGCCGGGCCACCCCCACUGUGCUGACGGCUAAGCUGCCCCGGAACAAGUCCUAUCCCGGGACUUUCGGCUGUUUCCCCCUGUUAAUGCCGACACUCAGCCGUCCAGGCCUGAAGCCUGGGACUCUGGGCUGAACCUGCGCCCUGUCUGUGCCAGCACCGCUGCCCCGUGGGCUGGGUUACCUUGUUGGGAGGUUUGGGGCCGUUCUGCAGGGAGGGAAGUGGCGUGCUUCUGGGUUGAAGGAUGCUGCUGUUUGUCUUGUUGAUAAAGGGCUGCUGCACCGCUGGAGCGGGUGGUCUCUGAUACGGAAGCACUGUAUUGGAUGCUGAGUUUGUGAAAACCUGUAAUGAAUAAAUAUUUGCCCAUCAA